UACAGAGGGUGCAAGCGUUGUUCGGAAUUAUUGGGCGUAAAGAGCUCGUAGGCGGCUUGUCGCGUCGUCCGUGAAAACUUGGGGCUCAACCCCAAGCUUGCGGUCGAUACGGGCAGGCUAGAGUUCGGUAGGGGAGACUGGAAUUCCUGGUGUAGCGGUGAAAUGCGCAGAUAUCAGGAGGAACACCGGUGGCGAAGGCGGGUCUCUGGGCCGAUACUGACGCUGAGGAGCGAAAGCGUGGGGAGCGAACAGG
rnacentral:rRNA from 1 species